rnacentral:rRNA from 2 species
CGACGACGGGUAGCCGGCCUGAGAGGGUGACCGGCCACACUGGGACUGAGACACGGCCCAGACUCNUACGGGAGGCAGCAGUGGGGAAUAUUGCACAAUGGGCGCAAGCCUGAUGCAGCGACGCCGCGUGAGGGAUGACGGCCUUCGGGUUGUAAACCUCUUUCAGUAGGGAAGAAGCGAAAGUGACGGUACCUGCAGAAGAAGCACCGGCUAACUACGUGCCAGCAGCCGCGGUAAUACGUAGCGGUGCGAGCGUUAUCCGGAAUUAUUGGGCGUAAAGAGCUCGUAGGCGGUUUGUCGCGUCUGUCGUGAAAGUCCGGGGCUUAACCCCGGAUCUGCGGUGGGUACGGGCAGACUAGAGUGCAGUAGGGGAGACUGGAAUUCCUGGUGUAGCGGUGGAAUGCGCAGAUAUCAGGAGGAACACCGAUGGCGAAGGCAGGUCUCUGGGCUGUAACUGACGCUGAGGAGCGAAAGCAUGGGGAGCGAACAGGAUUAGAUACCCUGGUAGUCCAUGCCGUAAACGUUGGGCACUAGGUGUGGGGACCGAUCCACGGUUUCCGCU